rnacentral:lncRNA from 1 species
CAAGAACAGAUGUGUUCAUCUCUCUUCGCCAUCCUGCUGGAGCACUUGAGUGGGUGAAGCCGAACUCCUUUUUGAUGACUUACCGUUAAUACGAUGCUAAUUAUAGUCACAGAAAGGGAUCACAGGGCGGGAGGAAGAAAGCCAGCACCUGCUGAGAGCCCCCAUUUCCACUUUGGGCCUUUUCGAGCGUCCUGGAGGUGCAGCUUAUAAAUGAGAGCUGGAGAGAUUCUGCAAGAACAACCACUAAGUAAGGAAAACAGUAGAAACUCACACCGGAACACGUGACUAGGAAAAUGGAGCAAGAUUGUUUUGAGGGGCAAUACGAGAAGGGCCCCAUACAGAGAAAGGCUACAAACACGACUGAACAAACAAAAUAAGAAAAGCACAUUAAACACCUAUGACGAUACUUUGUCCCGGACCCUCAAAGUGUUCGGGGGCUUCGAUCCAGCAACCCAGCUCUCGGACAAUAUUUAAUCGGGGGUAUUUGAAGUUAAUCCAAAUGCUCCACGGUGAGAAAACGGUGGGCGAGAAAAGGUUUUUAAAAAACCAGGCGUGCAGCAUGAUUUCAAAUAUCUGGAAAACACAGCCAGCAGGAAGGAGGAACCACGUGAGGCUCCCCUGCAGUUGGUGGCCUUGGUGGCCCGGCUGCAGGGCAGGGA